rnacentral:rRNA from 1 species
AAGCAGACCGAGUGAAAAUUUGAUCGGUUAAAAAGAAGGUUAGAGAAAUAGUAUGGAAGAAAAAGAUUAAUAUUCAGGUUAAAUUGAUAAUAUUAAUUAUAUUUUUGAUGCUUUCUAUAGCUUGAUGCCUUGAAAAUUUGGUUAAAAACUCGGAUUAGAUACCCGAUUAUUCCAGAAUGUAAAAUCUGAUAUAUCUACCUGGGUAUUACGAGUAUAGAUUGCUUGAAACUUAAAAGACUUGGCGGUGCUUUAUUUCUUUCUAGGGGAACCUGUCCCGUAAUCGAUAGUCCACGUUUAAACUUGCCUUAUUUAGGGGUUAUGUAAAGUAAUUUAUUCAGCUAGUAUACCGUCGUUGUCUGGCAAUCCUUCAGGGAUGUAUAAUAGCCUGGCGGAAAUGAACUUAGGAGUACUAGGUUUAGUUCAGGAUUUCAGAUCGAGGUGCAGCUAAUAAUAAGGUGGAGAUGGGUUACUUAUAGUUAUAUUUUUUAGAUUCGGCAUUGUAAUAUGUCGUUGAAAUCGGACUUAGUAGUAAUCAGGAUAAUUAGAAUAUCCUGAUGAAUUAGUGCUCUAAAGCGUGCACAAAUCGCCCGUCACUCU